ACGAGGGGGGCAAGCGUUGUUCGGAAUUAUUGGGCGUAAAGGGCGCGUGGGCGGUGCGGUAAGUCACCUGUGAAAUCUCCGGGCUUAACUCGGAGCCUGCAGGCGAAACUGCCGUGCUUGAGUGUGGGAGAGGUGCGUGGAAUUCCUGGUGUAGCGGUGAAAUGCGCAGAUAUCAGGAGGAACACCGGUGGCGAAGGCGGGUCUCUGGGCCGAUACUGACGCUGAGAAGCGAAAGCGUGGGGAGCGAACAGGA
rnacentral:rRNA from 1 species